rnacentral:snRNA from 1 species
GGAUGUGAGGGCGAUCUGGCUGCGACAUCUGUCACCCCAUUGAUCGCCAGGGUUGAUUCGGCUGAUCUGGCUGGCUAGGCGGGUAUCCCCUUCCUCCCUCACCGCUCCAUGUGCGUCCCUCCCGAAGCUGCGCGCUCGGUAGAAGAGGACGACCUUCCCCGAAUAGAGGAGGACCGGUCUUCGGUCAAGGGUAUACGAGUAGCUGCGCUCCCCUGCUAGAACCUCCAAACAAGCUCUCAAGAAUGGUUUUGAAGGAAAUUAUAAAAGAAAUAAAUAAAACAAUAUUGAUAUUUUAAAAGCAAUUUCAGCAGAAAUU